CGUUGGUAUUAGUUGACUGUUAGUAGUUCAAGUUGACUUUAGUACGAGCUUGUAAAAGUAUGAAUGGACUUGCUUCCCUGGAAAGAAAACUGAGUUAGUGUUCAACAGUACAAAAGUUAUGAGACACAAAUCAGACAAAUGUUUACUACUACAAGGAUCAAAGGUGAGGUCUGUCUAACCUGUCCAUAGUAAAUGUAAAUGUCCCCCACCUUCACCCCAAGUCUAUGAUUUCUGAGUUUGGAAUAAAAUGACAGGUAAUUAUAAAAACAGUUGGUCAAACAUUCUUGGGCUUGAAAGAUAUGUUUUCUUUAAAAUGAGCCAUAUGAAAAUGAAAAUUUUUAUAGGACCAGAAAUAAUUCAAAUUAUAAUUAAGGUAAAUUCUUUAAACCUACUUAUUAUUUUCCAUCAAUAAAAUUUUUUAAUUAUCAAAAAAAUGAUUGUAACAUAAUGCUGUUACGAAGUCUUCCAAACAAAGCUCCCAUAAUUAUUCAUUCCCAUGGUCGCCUGAAAUUGGACAAGGUCUAGUACACAUUGGUUAGGUCUAGCAAAGUGACAUGCAUAUGUGACGCCCAUGAGAUUGACAUUGUAUGUCAUUCAAUCUUUUUGAAAUGACAAACAAGAAUGAAUAUGGUUUAGUUUAGGAGUUGGUAUUUCAAUCUUAUACAAGUUCUCAAAACACACACAAGAGGGGGUGGGUGACCCUAGGGACUACCCUUAUAUUUCAUUUAAUGUGUUAUCUUGUCC
rnacentral:lncRNA from 1 species